UGGGGAAUAUUGCACAAUGGGCGGAAGCCUGAUGCAGCGACGCCGCGUGGGGGAUGAAGGCCUUCGGGUUGUAAACUCCUUUCGACAGGGACGAAGCUUUUGUGACGGUACCUGUAUAAGAAGCACCGGCUAACUACGUGCCAGCAGCCGCGGUAAUACGUAGGGUGCGAGCGAUUUCCGGAAUUACUGGGCGUAAAUAGCUCGUAGGUGGUUUGUCGCGUCGUCUGUGAAAUUCCGGGGUUUAACUCCGGGCGUGCAGGCGAUACGGGCUGACUUGAGUGCUGUAGGGGAGACUGGAAUUCCUGGUGUAGUGGUGAAAUGCGCAGAUAUCAGGAGGAACACCGAUGGCGAAGGCAGGUCUCUGGGCAGUAACUGACGCUGAGGAGCGAAAGCAUGGGUGGCGAACAGG
rnacentral:rRNA from 1 species